rnacentral:snRNA from 1 species
AAACUUACUUGGCAGGGCAGAUCCCAUGAUCAGUCUGGUUCACUGGUAGUACUGAUAGUUUCCCCAGAGUGAGGCCUGCCCUGUCCAUUGCACUCCAGGUAGGCUGAUUCCUGAAGGUUUCUUCAAUGCAGGAAAAUCAGUUGUACAGUUUUGUUGUAAUGAGGGACCAUGUGUGCGCUUUUCUCCU